rnacentral:lncRNA from 1 species
AAUGCCUCAUCUCUUUCGAAUCAAUUGUCUGCUAUUGAAACUUUGACUGGGAAUAACUAUGUAAGAUGGAAACGAGACAUAGAAAUAGCACUUGGUCUUUGGGACUUGGAUUUUGCAAUGGAGAAAAAUCUUGAAAAACCCAUAGAUAAGAGUACCGUUGAAUAUGUAGCCGAGCAUGAAAAGUGGGAAAGGGCUAACAAACUCUGUUUGAAAAUCAUUAAGCGAUCGAUAUCUGAUUCCAUUCGGAUGCCAUAGGAGAAAAAUUUGUUGAGUCUGAUAAAGCCGAAACUGGGGAUAUGAUGGAUAAAUUGAUGAGUAUGAGAUAUGAUGGCACAAAUGGUGUUAGGGAGCAUGUCAUGAAAAUGAUAAAUAUAUCAUCUAAGCUAAAGGCUCUUGACAUUUCCAUUGCGGAGCCUUUCCUAGUCUAUCAUGUUUUGAAUAGCCUUCCUAGCAAGUUUAAUCAACUUAAAGUUACUUACAAUGCUCAGCGGGAUAAAUGGAAUUUGAAUGACCUCAUAACAGUGUGUGCCCAAGAAGAGUAUAGGAUGCGCCGUGAAACUGUACAACUAGCUUUUCAGCCAUCACAGAAUAAGGGGCCUUCUCAUAAUCAUAAAUCUAAGUUUCGUAAGGGUAAUAAGUCCCAUCGAAGUCAGCAGAAUAAUAAUUUUAGUGGUCCCAAAUGAGUUAUAAAGAAAAAUGAUCAAUGUAAGUUCUGUAAAAAGAAAUGUCACUGACAGAAAGACUGUUUUAAAUUCAAGACUUGGUUGGAAAGGAAGAAGAGUUCUUCAGGUAUUCCCUUGGCCUUAAUUUGUUUUGAGUCUUCUUUAGUAGAUGUACCUCUGAUUUCUUGGUGGUUAGACUCGGGAGCUAGUAUUCAUAUUGCGAAUUCCUUGUAGGGGUUCAUAAGCAAACGGAGGUCAAGUGAGAAUGAAGUAAGCUUGAGCCUUGCAAAUGGAUUCCAAGUGAAGGUUGAAUUCAUAGGAGUAGUGAAGCUAACUUUAGAGUCCGAUUUUUAUCUUGUUUUGGAAAAUACAGUUUAUGUACCGCAGAUGAGACGGAGU